UACGUAGGGGGCAAGCGUUGUCCGGAAUCAUUGGGCGUAAAGAGCGUGUAGGCGGCUCGGUAAGUCCGCUCUGAAAGCCCGGGGCUCAACCCCGGGAGGCGGGCGGAUACUGUCGAGCUAGAGUCCGGAAGAGGCGAGUGGAAUUCCUGGUGUAGCGGUGAAAUGCGCAGAUAUCAGGAGGAACACCGGUGGCGAAGGCGGUUCUCUGGGCCUGUACUGACGCUGAGGAACGAAAGCGUGGGGAGCGAACAGG
rnacentral:rRNA from 1 species